rnacentral:rRNA from 1 species
GACGAACGCUGGCGGCGUGCUUAACACAUGCAAGUCGAACGGUGAAGCGCCUUCCUUUUUGGUGGGUGUGGAUGAGUGGCGAACGGGUGAGUAACACGUGAGUAACCUGCCCCCUUCUUCUGGAGAACCGCAUGAAAGUGUGGCUAAUACGGGAUAUUCUGGGUCUGUCGCAUGAUGGGUCUGGGAAAGAUAUUGUUUCGGUGGGGGAUGGGCUCGCGGCCUAUCAGCUUGUUGGUGGGGUGAUGGCCUACCAAGGCGGUGACGGGUAGCCGGCCUGAGAGGGUGGACGGUCACACUGGGACUGAGACACGGCCCAGACUCCUACGGGAGGCAGCAGUGGGGAAUAUUGCACAAUGGGCGCAAGCCUGAUGCAGCGACGCCGCGUGAGGGAUGGAGGCCUUCGGUUUGUGAACCUCUUUCGCCAGUGAAGCAGGCCUGCCUCGUUUGUGGGUGGGUUGACGGUAGCUUGAUAAGAAGCGCCGGCUAACUACGUG